rnacentral:rRNA from 1 species
AGAACGAACGCUGGCGGCAGGCCUAACACAUGCAAGUCGAACGAGAUCUUCGGAUCUAGGUGGCGACGGGUGAGUAACGCGUGGGAACGUGCCCUUCUCUACGGAAUAGUCCUGGGAAACUGGGUUUAAUACCGGUAUACGCCCUUCGGGGGGAAAGAAUUUCGGGGAAGGAUCGGCCCGCGUUAGGAUUAGGGUAGUUAGGUGGGGGUAACUGGGCCUACCAAGCCGACGAUCCAUAGCUGGUU